rnacentral:rRNA from 1 species
CCUACGGGAGGCAGCAGUGGGGAAUAUUGGGCAAUGGGCGCAAGCCUGACCCAGCAACGCCGCGUGAAGGAAGAAGGCUUUCGGGUUGUAAACUUCUUUUGACAGGGAAGAGUAGAAGACGGUACCUGUCGAAUCAGCCACAGCUAACUACGUGCCAGCAGCGGGGGUAAUACGUAGUUGGCAAGCGUUGUCCGGAUUUACUGGGUGUAAAGGGCGUGUAGCCGGGUUGACAAGUCAGAUGUGAAAUCCUUCGGCUUACCCGCAGAACUGCAUUUGAAACUGUUGAUCUUGAGUACUGGAGAGGCAGACGGAAUUCCUAGUGUAGCGGUGAAAUGCGUAGAUAUUAGGAGGAACACCAGUGGCGAAGGCGGGCUGCUGGACAGCAACUGACGGUGAGGCGCGAAAGCGUGGGGAGCAAACAGGAUUAGAUACCCUAGUAGUC